AAAAACACAGCUUUUGGAAACUAACAAAAUUACUCUCUCACUGUCACACUUUUCUCACCGCCACACUUCUCCACCGUCUACAACGCACUUCUCCGCCGUCUACGUCGGCACUUCUCUACUGCAGCACGUCUCCUCACAACUCUGUAAACUUCAGCUACUCACCAAAUUCAAAAUUUUAUAGGUGUUCUAUGAUUCUUCGAGACAUUCUGUGUCUACAUAUUUUUUGGGGCCACUUUGUCUGAAAUGGUGUCGCUAACAAGUGCCUUGUUUCUUCUUAAAAUUUGGAGUUGUCGUCUCCGUGUAUCCUUUUGUUUAUGCUGGAGUAAGGUAUACACCAAAGUUCGAUGGUUCAAAGAUAUCACAUACAUUAUAUUCUUAUUUGGAACUGAAAUUAAAAGGAGAGCUUCUAGAUCAUCGGGGAUAAAAAAAUUGAGGGGAAAGGCUCGGACAUCUUUUGAACCUAGAAACACAAUUAUGGUUGCCAAACUAUGACAGUUCCGAGGAGAGAAUCAGGAGGCUUGGAUAGUUCAAGCUAUACAUUAUUUCGAUUUCUAUAAAAUUGAGGAAGAUCAAAAGCUUAAUGUGGUGUCGCUCUACCUUGAUGGUGAAGCAUUACAAUGGUACCCGUGGUUAUUUAGGAAUAAUCAAUCAAGUGAUUGGUUGAAUUUUGCUGAUAAGAUGAAAAUUUGAUUUAAACAGAAAUGAUAUGAGUCUGCGGCAGAGUGAAGCGCCAAUCUCGAACAGGUAACCUACGUGACUGAGUACCAAAAUCAUUGUGAGGAUAUUUUGUCGAGCUUUGGUGAGUCCGAUGUACUCUUCCCAGGCCACACAUAUGUUCAUCCAUGUUGGAGCAACAUAACCAACUCUCUUAUACCGUAAUAUCGUGACCAAUCAUAAUACAAAAGCAAUACAAAUGUGUGUAAGGUGUGUGAUUAGUUGUCCGAUAGGUACAAAGACUCAUAUUAUCUCUCAGUCUCGCUAUGUUCAGCAAGCUUAUUGAACUUUCCAUUCCAGAUGGGUAUGUCGAGUCAAGUACACGGUGUGCUAUUAUAUUUGUAUCUUUUACAAUAUCAGUAAUGUAGCAAGUUUCCGCAACAGGUAAAAUAAAUGUAUAUUUGCAACAAUCAAUGGAGUAUUAGUCAACACUUAUUUAUACAAUGAAUGUUGUUUUUACUACUGCGAGAUUUUUAUUUUUUCUUACUAGUUGGACUACCUGUGAAGCUACUAACUUAGUACAUUGAUACUCAAAGAGGUAAUACCUUGUUAAUGGUGAAUAAAUUCACCUGCAAUCAUUAGAAAAAUAGAAAUAUGACUCAUUUCAUAUCUUGAUCCAAAUUAUCUUGACCAAAGAUCAUAGUUUCAUCUACUUUUAUUGUUACCAGAUAUGCCGAAGCUGAAGCAUUACGAUAACUUACGCAACUCAUUUACUCAUCAUCUAGUUCACAAGGUUUGGCACAUUCUUCAUCAAGAAAUGAAUCAUUUGACAUCAUCAACUCCGCGAUCUGCGUUGACAUCGGUAUAUUGACAGUUGAUUUCGCUGCUAAAGAAUGAAAAUGAUAUUGUGUACUAACUCAAGGAAGAUGCGUGGCUAGCUGCUUAAACUUUUUUUGUUUAGGUAAAAUUUGACUAAUACAAGCAUUAUCAAGGUAAUUUUACUCUUUUUUAGCAUUGCUAUUUGAUAGGAUUAACAUGUUCUGCCAGACUCACUGCUUUAGUCACUCGUGUUGGUUUCUUUGUCCCUCGUCGGGCGGCAAAAGAUUGUUUUCCCCCCUUGAUAAAGCCUUCUUUAAGCUAGUAAAGAUAAUGUAGUCUUCAGAGGUUAGAGGGAAUGAUUAGAAGUUAAGAUGUUGCGUAUCUUUUACUUUCUAUUCCGUGCUUCAUAUAUGUAUUUGAUUCCAAAAGAUUUGUACAAUCUUUGUGAGCAAUAUCGGAAGAAGCUUAUUAUUUUCUAGUUGAAGGUGUGCCCCUACUGCUCCUCAAAUUUGGUCAGCUUGUUUAUUUGUGGGUGCAGUGCAGUAUUUUUCAUAUGCAUGUUUAUUUGUGGGUGCACUUUAUUUCUAAGACCUUGUAAGUUUCUCGAAAUUAUUAACAGCAACCAGUCACCUGGCGCCUAUUCAGCAGGACUUGGAUUGGCAUUCUUUAGUAUCAACGACUUUUACGAGUAAAGAAAAUGAAUAGCAUACCAGCUCAUAGUUGCAUAAGAAGGUCUGUGCUUUCAAAAUUGUCGCCUGUUUCUUCUUCGUCUUAAAUCCUAUUGUGACAGAAUUAUUCAACCUUGUGGAAGAAUUAACAUCCAUAGUCACUUUUGAAUCUUCACUUGCAACAGUAGUUAGCUGUGUUUUUCUUGGAACAAACUCAAGUGCAUGUGCAUUCAUGAUUUUUGGAUAAUCAUAACUGCUUAUUUCAGCAGCAGGAUUUUGGUUCUUUACAUAUCCGUUUUUCAUGAAAGCAUGACUUGUCCUGUGGUACUUACAAUCCUUUGUCGUGAUCAUAUUGUUCGUAACUAUUGAUAUGUUACUCUCAACGGGAUUUAUUUAGUGCAAUGAGAUACAUGUACUUUGCAGUGUUGUUCAUUGGAGUUACAAAUAACACUGUUGUCCAACCAGUUGUGCCCGUUGAAAGAUUGAGUAUAUUGUGCUGUCGUUUUGAAAUGAUUUGAAAUCCUUGCUCGAUUAAAUGAUUUUAACUCUUUUUCUGUUGUUGUAAGUCUUUAAUAUGCAAAUUCUCUGUCCAAGUGUUAACAUAGAAAGGAAAGACGUCAUUUCUACUAGUAUCUUUGUCUAUAAAUCGAAAUUGUGAGUAUUCAUAUAGCCACUCCAACUUAUUUGGGAUUGUUGUCGUUUAAUGCUUACAACCUUAGUAUGCUAAUAUUACGGAUGUUUUGUUUUGUGACUUGCAGUGGGCUAACAACCUUUAUCAAGGAGUUAUGCUUCCAUUACCCGUGCCUCUAAAGCCAGCUGAUGUUGGUGACAAUAAUUGUAGUGAAACUAGUUGAAGUUCCAUAAACCGAUCCUAUCUUGAGUUUGGAUGAUAUUGAUUUGAAGUUUAAGCAAGUUUUGUAGUGAUUUGAAGUUAAAGAAAAUUCUUAUAGUGAUAUGAAGUUUCUUGUAAUCGUAAUGGUUGAAACAAAUGAUAUGUUUUUGUUCACUUCAUGAUAUACUUUUGUGUUGAAUAUUGUAAUAUUUCUUAAUACUAAUAUGUCCUUUGAUAAUAA